CAAGUCUGGUGCCAGCAGCCGCGGUAAUUCCAGCUCCAAUAGCGUAUAUUAAAGUUGUUGCAGUUAAAAAGCUCGUAGUUGAAUUUCGGAAUCAACACGUCGGUCGUGCCACUGGUAUGAACUGGCGUCGUUGAUUUCUCCUUUCUGAGGAACCAUGAUGUCAUUAAUUUGGUGUGGUGGGAAAUCAGGACUGUUACUUUGAAAAAAUUAGAGUGUUUAAAGCAGGCCUACGCUUGAAUACAUUAGCAUGGAAUAAUGAAAUAGGACGUUCGAACCUAUUUUGUUGGUUUCUAGGAUCAACGUAAUGAUUAAUAGGGAUAGUUGGGGGCAUUAGUAUUCAAUUGUCAGAGGUGAAAUUCUUGGAUUUAUUGAAGACUAACUACUGCGAAAGCAUUUGCCAAGGACGUUUUCAUUAAUCAAGAACGAAAGUUAGGGGAUCGAAGACGAUUAGAUACCGUCGUAGUCUUAACCAUAAACUAUGCCGACUAGGGAUCGGAUGAUGGUAAUUUUUUAAUGACUCAUUCGGCGCCUUAC
rnacentral:rRNA from 1 species